ACCGCCACUCCAGUGCGCAGGCGCCUGGCGGUUACCGGUCUCGCCAUGGAGCGGAAAGUGCUUGCGCUCCAGGCCCGAAAGAAAAGGACCAAGGCCAAGAAGGACAAAGCCCAAAGGAACUUCCUAUUAAGCAGCUGAAAUGUCUAAUUAAUUAACUUGGUUAGAGAGUACUAUGUCAGAAGUUCAAGCCCUGCCUGGCUCAG
rnacentral:lncRNA from 1 species